GAUGAACGCUGGCGGCGUGCCUAAUACAUGCAAGUCGAGCGAACGGACGAGAAGCUUGCUUCUCUGAUGUUAGCGGCGGACGGGUGAGUAACACGUGGAUAACCUACCUAUAAGACUGGGAUAACUUCGGGAAACCGGAGCUAAUACCGGAUAAUAUUUUGAACCGCAUGGUUCAACAGUGAAAGACGGUCUUGCUGUCACUUAUAGAUGUAUCCGCGCUGCAUUAGCUAGUUGGUAAGGUAACGGCUUACCAAGGCAACGAUGCAUAGCCGACCUGAGAGGGUGAUCGGCCACACUGGAACUGAGACACGGUCCAGACUCCUACGGGAGGCAGCAGUAGGGAAUCUUCCGCAAUGGGCGAAAGCCUGACGUAGCAACGCCGCGUGAGUGAUGAAGGUCUUCGGAUCGUAAAACUCUGUUAUUAGGGAAGAACAUAUGUGUAAGUAACUGUGCACAUCUUGACGGUACCUAAUCAGAAAGCCACGGCUAACUACGUG
rnacentral:rRNA from 1 species